rnacentral:rRNA from 1 species
UACGUAGGGGGCAAGCGUUGUCCGGAAUCAUUGGGCGUAAAGCGCAUGUAGGCGGCUUGUUAAGUCACGUGUGAAAGCCCCAGGCUCAACCUGGGAAGUGCGCGUGAAACUGGCGAGCUUGAAUCCUGGAGAGGGUGGCGGAAUUCCCGGUGUAGAGGUGAAAUUCGUAGAUAUCAGGAGGAACACCGAUGGCGAAGGCAGGUCUCUGGGCCACUACUGACGCUGAGAAGCGAAAGCAUGGGGAGCGAACAGG